rnacentral:rRNA from 1 species
GAGUUUGAUCUUGGCUCAGAUUGAACGCUGGCGGCAGGCCUAACACAUGCAAGUCGAGCGGUAGAGAGAAGCUUGCUUCUCUUGAGAGCGGCGGACGGGUGAGUAAUGCCUAGGAAUCUGCCUGGUAGUGGGGGAUAACGCUCGGAAACGGACGCUAAUACCGCAUACGUCCUACGGGAGAAAGCAGGGGACCUUCGGGCCUUGCGCUAUCAGAUGAGCCUAGGUCGGAUUAGCUAGUUGGUGAGGUAAUGGCUCACCAAGGCGACGAUCCGUAACUGGUCUGAGAGGAUGAUCAGUCACACUGGAACUGAGACACGGUCCAGACUCCUACGGGAGGCAGCAGUGGGGAAUAUUGGACAAUGGGCGAAAGCCUGAUCCAGCCAUGCCGCGUGUGUGAAGAAGGUCUUCGGAUUGUAAAGCACUUAAGUUGGGAGAAGGGCAGUAAAUUAAUACUUUGCUGUUUGACGUUACCGACAGAAUAAGCACCGGCUAACUCUGUGCCAGCCGCCG